GUAUUGUAUGUAAGGAGAGACGGUUAGCACUGCCCUUGACAGGGGUAAAAACAACAGGCAUAUGGUUAAGGCUUUGCUACCUACAUUUAACGUAACCUUACUUUCCU
ensembl:snRNA LOC120099035 U6atac minor spliceosomal RNA